AGAUACUGAGACCAACAGAAGAGAGUGCCAGAUAACCAGUGAUCCCUCACUAACCAUAAGAAUCAAAGAAGACACUGAGUUCCUUCUGAGGAAGAAACACACAGUGAGAGUUCAACAACUGUGCUAAGGAUCAUACGGAUACUAUAGAAGAAAGUGAAGAUUGGAAUCCAGGUUUUGAGAUUUGCUAUAUUAUUUCUCCCUUAGACUUUAUAUGUUCAAGCAAUAAAAUAGUCUUUGAAAGAGCUAAA